GGCCUUGACAUGCUGAGAACUUUCCAGAGAUGGAUUGGUGCCUUCGGGAACUCAGACACAGGUGCUGCAUGGCUGUCGUCAGCUCGUGUCGUGGGAUGUUGGGUUAAGUCCCGUAACGAGCGCAACCCUUGUCCUUAGUUACCAGCACGUAAUGGUGGGCACUCUAAGGAGACUGCCGGUGACAAACCGGAGGAAGGUGGGGAUGACGUCAAGUCAUCAUGGCCCUUACGGCCAGGGCUACACACGUGCUACAAUGGUCGGUACAAAGGGUUGCCAAGCCGCGAGGUGGAGCUAAUCCCAUAAAACCGAUCGUAGUCCGGAUCGCAGUCUGCAACUCGACUGCGUGAAGUCGGAAUCGCUAGUAAUCGUGAAUCAGAAUGUCACGGUGAAUACGUUCCCGGGCCUUGUACACACCGCCCGUCACACCAUGGGAGUGGGUUGCUCCAGAAGUAGCUAGUCUAACCUUCGGGGGGACGGUUACCACGGAGUGAUUCAUGACUGGGGUGAAGUCGUAACAAGGUAGGCGUAGAUGA
rnacentral:rRNA from 1 species